rnacentral:lncRNA from 1 species
GUUCUGUCUGCGUAAGGGAACUAUUCUAUUUUUAUUUAGGGUUUAGUAAACUGAACAAACUAACUCAAUUUUAGGAAUGGUAUGGGACUACUGCUGUAUAAGACAAACGUUUUGUCUGUUUGCAGACCACCUCUUUUCCAAUAACCAGAAAACAGUACCAAACAGUACCCCUAUUAAAGAGUUUUAUCGUACCACAUGUUGAAGUACAUUUAUAUCCUAUUCCAGUCACAAUUUUACUAAUCAGUUUGGUUAUUGGAUUAUGAGUGGUAGUAACAAACUAAACAUAUUUUAACACACAUCGUGUGUCUAUUGUGUACAUGUAUAGUUUUGCACACAUUUUAUCUUGGUUCGCUGUGUGUCUAAAACAGUGGUAAAAUUAUUCACCACAACCAGUUCAGAAACUACCAUGACAUGAAUGUUGAAGUAAAUCAAAUGCACGAAGCUCUUAAGAAAAAUAUUUAAAUGCAAAAAAUGUACUGUGAGUUGCAAACAUACCCAAGCUGUGCAAGAGGGACAACAGCAAGCAGCUACACAACAGUGAGAUCAAGUUCCCACUCGCCGACCAGGAAGCUGAAGACCACGUUCAAGGCUUGAAGUUUCUGACAGAUCUAUUUCAUGUGUUAUUCGUUAAAAUUAUGGGAAGGUGACAAGAAUUAGAUACUGUUCCAAACAGUCAUUUGUUU